GGCUCUGUAGUGAAAUUCAUAGUGAGUUGCAAGCUCAUUGAUGUGCGCUAACCGUGUACCGGAGCCU
rnacentral:tRNA from 1 species